CUUCUCAAUUCCUGAUUUAAAAGUAAAAACUACAAUAGAUUGAACACCAUACAUCAUGAUAAAUGUUUGGCUAUUUUCAUCGCAUAAUCUUAUGAUUCUUCUAUACGAAUUAAUAUUCAAUGAGAAAUAUUUUUACAAUCAUUUAUAGAGGAAAAAACUUCCUAACUUGAACAGCUUUUGGAGCUUGAUCUUGAGAGACCUGGACACUAACCUACUGUAUCACUUGUAUGGAGAAGGAGAAAGAGAAGGAGAAAGAGAAGGAGAAUACCUAUGAAAUGGAAAAUGGAAACACCUAUUAAGCAAAAACGCAUGCCACUUAAAACAGAAUAACAAUAACUAAACCCUGGGUGAGCGUCUCACCUUGAUCUCCUUGAAUAUGACAUUAGCUACAAUUCAACAAGCAACCCAAAAACAAAGGCAAAAAAUAAUAAAUCAGUACUCAUAUGAGACAAUAGUCAAUUCACAUAAAAUAAAGUACCAAACAUUUAACAAAAUCUAGUUUUUUUUAUAGUUUGAAAAAUCACUAUUUGACCCCACCAACACAAAUCUACUAUCCUUUAUACAAACAAGGCCCUGGGAAGGCUGACAUGGCAUUGUUUUUGCUUACGUGUCGGCCUGUGGUUAAUUGCAUUUCCCGCCCAAAAAUGUCUAGGUCAAACUUUUAUUAUUUUUAUUUUUUCCGUAAAACUAAAAUUAAAAUACAUUACCAAUACUGAUGCCUUGCCAAUACCGAUGCAUUACCAAUACCAAGACAAGACGUCUGCAACCGAAGGGUUUUGGUGAUACAGUUCCAUUUUCCUCCUCUUCGUAUUCCAUUUGCCUCCUUUCCGUAUUCCAUUUGAAGAAGGUUCGUUUUCCUUUUUAUUUUAUUUUUCUACCUUAUCUGUGAAUGAUCUUGUUAUUGCAUGUGUAUGAUUCCGUUCUGUUUUUGCUUUUACCUUACCUGUGUAUCAUUUGUUGUUGGCGUUUUAUAUUUUCCCCUUAUUUCAUCUCUUUCAUCUUAGAUCUGCAUCGUGGUUCUAAUGUUUUGCUUUUGUUGGUGCAUGUGUAUGAUUCCCUUUUUUUUUCUCACUUCCAUUUUCCUCCUCUCCGUAUUCCAUUGGGUUUCCCUGCAUUUGCCUCUUCUUCGUAUUCCAUUUGAAGAAGGUUCAUUUUCCUUCUUUUUUUUCUACAUUACUCGUGAAUGAUUUUGCUUAUGCAUGUGUAUGAUUCCGUUCUUUUUUUGCUUUUACCUAACCUAUGUAUCAUUUUGUUGUUGGUGUUUUACUUUUUCCCCUUAUUUUAUCUCUUUCAUCUCAUAUCUGCAUCGUGGUCCUAAUUUUUUGGUGUUUUCUUUUUUUGUUACACGUUUUUACCUUACCUGUUAAUGAUUUUCCGAUUUACCUAAUUUUUUUGUGUUCUCUUUUAUGUGUUUGCGACACAUUUAUUGUGAAAUCUGUUUUUGUGCUUGAUUUCUUUGGUUACUAUAGUGUGUUUACCAUAUCAUGGACCAUUUUUUUUGAACGCCAACUUUGUUUGAGUAGCAAUGGUGCGUUUUUUUGUAUUCCACAGUUGUCGUUUUGUAUCACCUACUUCUUAUUUGUGUGUGUAUUCUUUUGUUUAGUUAAGUGUGUUUAGUUUUUUGGUAUAUCCUAACUGAACUUGGCUUUUAUUUUUGACCGAGAGCAACAAAGAAGACGACUAAUAGUGUCCGGCAUUUGGAGUACAGUGAUGUCUCGAAAGGAAAAUCUGAUAUCUAAAUUGCAUCCGAGGAAAGGGACAUGGAAGAUAGCAGUGCGUAUAACUGAUAUCUGGGAUGUUAAGAAGCACAAUGGGAGACAAGCGAUUAACAUGGUCUUGAUGGACCAAACGGGUGCAAAGAUUGGUGCGACGCUAUGGCAGGAAUUCUUCCUUGAAUUUCAACCGAAGUUGCAUUUGGGUUGUUUCUAUUUGAUCCAGAACAUCAAAGUUGUGGAUAAUCAGUCUGAAUACAAAUUAUUGAACGAAAAACAGUGAACCCUGCAUACAGAGUUACGGUGAAGUUGAGAGAUAACAGGAGGAUUAUGCUCUACAGCUUGAUGAUGCUAUUGAAAAAAACCAUUUUGUUGGGGAGCCGUUGGUGCUUAUGUUAACAUUAGCUAAGAUCAAAGAUGCCAAAGACAAGUAUCCGCUGAGUGUCCAAAAUAUAAAGAAUGGUUCCAAGUUGUAUGUGAACGCCGAUAUUGCCAAGAUCAAGAAAUUCCGUAAUGCUUUACGUGUGUCAUUUUAUGUUGGCGGAGCAACAGAUGAAGGGAGUGGUUCUCAAUCCCAGUAUACCAACAAUUCACAAAGAAUGCUGCAGGAUAAGUUCUUGCAUAAUGCUCAGAUGGUGAGCUUAGGUGACAUAAGCAAACUGAGAGAGGACGGUUACUGUUUGACCGUUGCUAUGGUGGAUGAAGUCAUGAUUGAUACACCAUGGAGUUAUGAUAGUUGUCCCUACUGCACUACAACAUUUGAUCCAUUAAAAAUAAGGGCAGCCUGUCGCUCGUGCCAGAACCAAGUUAGUCAUACGGUUCCCAGGUAUAAAUUAGUUGUCAAAAUGGAUCACAAUGGGGAGAAAGCUAACUUUCAUUUCUGGGAUGCGUCGUGUAUCAAAAUGUUCAAUAAGACAACUGACGAAUGUCGACAGGAAUGGAUUGCGGUUGGUGACGAGAUCAAAGUGUUCCCUGAGUGUGUGGAUGAUUUGGUGGGUAAGACAUUGGCUGUCAGAUUCAAGUUCCAUGUACACAUGUGCCAAUCAUCUGUCUUGGAUGUUAGCCAAGAGGAACAUCAUAUCCACACAUUGACCUCCACACUUGGUUUACAGGAUGAAGCAAGUAUAGGGAAGUCACCAGCGGCGUGUGCUGAAACUUCAUUAUAGGAUUACCAUCCCACGCCUUCAUUGUCCCAGUUAGCUGACUAUGAAAAGGGAACACUGCCUUCAUCACCCCUGCCAAAAGAAUGAGCGGUCAACAAGGCACAACUGAAUUUGAUUCUGACGAUUAUACUGCAUAUGAGCUAUUCACAAGUUGACAAGCCACUAUAAGCUUCUGGAAUUAUGACGUCCUUAUUACGGUAACGUAUACCCUUAUACAAAAUCACUGUCGUAUAUAUUGUUGAAAUUUGUGCGCAAGCAGGUACUAUUUAUCCUAAUACUUUAUAGUAUAUUAUUUUCCAUAUUAGUGCUAGAUUAUAAUGUAAAGUACCUUUCACAUAUAAUAGCAAUACAUAUUAGGUAUUAGAUGGGACCUGACCUGCAAGUUCCCAAUACCCAGUACAUGGAAAAAAGUUAAUGCAUGUGUGCCAAUCACUUAAAGUGAUGUGAUGGAAUUGUAAUAGGCGUGCAGACUUUGACGAAAAUGUUAAUAUA